rnacentral:rRNA from 1 species
AACGUAGGGGACAAGCGUUAUCCGGAUUUACUGGGCGUAAAGCGCCCGUAGGCGGCUUAACAAGUUGGAUGUGAAAGCUCCCGGCUUAACUGGGAGAGGUCAUUCAAAACUGUUAGGCUAGAGGAUGGAAGAGGAGAGCGGAAUUCCCGGUGUAGUGGUGGAAUGCGCAGAUAUCGGGAGGAACACCAAUGGCGAAGGCAGCUCGCUGGGACGGUACUGACGCUGAGACGCGAAAGCGUGGGGAGCAAACAGG